AGACGGACAGUAUACAGUACACGGCCCGAUUCCGUGAUGCGGCAAUCAGCCCUCUAGCUGUUGAACGGCAACAUCACCACUGCUGUUAUGAUUUGAAUCAAGCAGAGCACAAAGCUGAGCUCCCGUUCGACACAGACACCAUCAUCAAUAACUGGUUAACUGGUUGGGGCUUAUUGGCGGGACAGAUGUACGAGACUGCACAUGGCAUAUAUUGAAGAGGGCGACCGACAACUCCCUGGCUUAAAACCUCAACUGGAUGGAAAAGACUUUAUUUGCCACCCUCUAACUCAGAGAGGUAGUGAUUGAUGCAGUUUGGAGAAGGUCCCUUACAGUUGUGGAGGGGACAAUGAAGAGGUGUCUCGAUCGAGAGGGUGGGUGCAAGAGACAAAUUUAGCAAAAGAAAAGCAGUUAGUGUUAGCGCCUGUGUUUGAGUCUGCAAAGGAGAAUGUUUUGUGCUGUAAAAAGAGUGGUGGUGUUUUGGUUAAAUGUGUUUAACUUGUUUUAAUUACUUGGCUUGUGUGUGUGUGUGUGGGUUGGUAUAUGUGGUUUAUGGGGAAUAGUGUAUAAUGACAUGUUUAAUAUGCUAUAAACAUGCUUUACAGGGACACAAUACUAAGUGGUACUUUUUCAGAUUAAAGACUUCCAACAGAUUUUUGUUAUGGUUGGGCUUAGGGACUGGGGUAAGUUAAGG